CCCUCCCACACACAAUGUAUUUAAAGCCCAUAGGGAUAAACUUUGCUUGUUGUUGGUGUGCUUGUCAGUUAGUAACAUAAAAAUACCUGGUAUUGGAAAAUAUUGCAGUAGGUGAAACUUCAUGUUUUAAAAUGAGUUUUGGUUACUUUGUGGAUAGCUCAUUUAGAAUCAUAUCACAUGUGGUUCUUUAGUAAUUUAGAGAUUCCAUAAUAAUCUUGGGCACCUGUUCCAGUGCGUUUAAACUCCUACAAUAAAUAUUUGUUAAGUCCAUCGCCCAGUAUGGAGAAUGGGUGUCUGAAUAGGAGAGCAGAUGCUUUUCCUAACAUUUAAAAUGUGUGUGUUUCCAGUGUCGUGUGAUGUGUGACAGGAGUUCUCAGACUGGGAAGGCUUUAGGACGUUCACUUGGCUAUGCCUUCAUAGACUUCUCGGAACAUGAGCCCACCCUCAAAGUUCUAUGACACUUGAACAAUAACCCAAACAUAUUUGAGCCAGAGAUGAGACCUAUUAUGGAGUUUUCCUUGAAGAUAAGAGAAUGUUAAAAAUAAAGGAAAUGAGAGCACUGAAAAACCAGAAAAAGGUGAAGCACACGGUGGGCUUAGAAGGGGAUAAGAAAGCCCCCAAUAUCUCUGAUAAAAAUAAAAAGCCAAGGCAAGAUAAUGGUAACAGCAGAGAGAGAUGACUUGAGACAUUCACACACAGAGGAGUGGACAAGGAGGGCAAUUCACACACAGAGGAGUGGACAAGGAGGGCAAUUUCUGGUCAGGAUUCGUCACCAAACCAGGUGUGGAGGUGGAAGAACUGCCUAGUGGCAAGAAGCGCAAGAAGGUCCUUCCCCUUCCCUCACACAGAGGCCCUAAAAUCAGAAAAAGGGAUAAAGGAAAACCACAGCUACCAUAACCAACAAAAACCAAGAACCACCCCAGCAGAAAAGAAAAUGUUCAACAAAUGCUUCCAGUCAAACAGGCACCCAAGAAGAGAACUUUCAGAAACAAAGAGGAUGAUGUUGAACAGUACAAAAAGAGAAUUCUGAGAAAUCCCAAGUCGUCUAUUGUGAAAAAGAGCAAAUGGUUCAGUUAAAACUUCACUGAAGUAUUUUACCAUUACUAUUGCAGUAGAAAACCAAUUCAGUGUGGUCCUACAGUUCUACAUUCUCAACUCCAAACUGACUUUUUCAGACAUUGCAACAAGAAGAUAGAAAGUGCAUUAUUUUGUUAUUCUUCUAAUUGAUUUGCCACGUUAUUCUAUAAAAGUAGUAAAAAAGAAACCAACAGUUUCUUUUGCUCUUAUGAAAAUUAAGUUCAGCAAAGUGCCAUUUUUUUAGGAAUGAAAAAACAAAACAAACUUGUUUGAUGCAUGAAGUUUUUUUUUAUAAUUAACACACAAAAUGCUUUGCAAUUUUAAAACGCUGGGGCCUUACUAAUACGGCACUUUACUGCGAAUGCAUUGUUAAUUGUUGAGUAAUAUCCGUCCAUCUGUCCGUCCAUCCAUCUAAAAUAAGCUUUUGCAUGACAGAUACCCUUUGUAUGUAGUACACAUCAUAUCAUGGAAGGUUUGCAUUCUUUAUCAGCAUUGUCUUGGUAAUAAACCCUCUAGAUACAAUAGCAUUAUGCACAUUAUUGGUUACUGCAGGAGCAAAUUUGGACCUUAGUGAUAUUUAAAUUUUUUUUUAAAGGUUUGAGGUUCCUUAAGCCCUUUACGACUUUCACUGUCUUCAUGACACCUAUACUGAUCAGCCAAAGGUUUUGCACCAGGGUACAAUUUGUUAAUGUUGUUGUGGCAUAUUAACACCUCCCCCAUGUGAUUCCUUGGAUUACGGGCACAUUGUGUCAAUCCACAUCUUGUGACCAUUUAGGAUUUUAAAGUUGGAAGUUGCUCAAUAGUUUGUGCUGUUAUGACAUUUCAGGUAUUUUUUAAGAUUAUUUCUUGGAUAUUUUUGAGACUUCAGGUCUCUUGGGUGCACAACUGCUGGCCAGUUUUCAAGUCCCUUUGAAUAAAAACAGCUACAUGUUCACUACAAAAUUGUUUAAAUGGAUAAGAACUGUAUUAUUGUAAUAGCCAAUACUCACAUUUCAAAGGUUUCGACAUUUGGAUGUUGUAAGGUACCAGGGAGGGGGUUAAAAUCCUUCCCUGCUAAAAACCUUGUGAGAAUGCACA